rnacentral:rRNA from 1 species
GACGAACGCUGGCGGCGUGCUUAACACAUGCAAGUCGAACGGAAAGGCCCUGCUUUUGUGGGGUGCUCGAGUGGCGAACGGGUGAGUAACACGUGAGUAACCUGCCCUUGACUUUGGGAUAACUUCAGGAAACUGGGGCUAAUACCGGGUAGGAGCUCCUGCUGCAUGGUGGGGGUUGGAAAGUUUCGGCGGUUGGGGAUGGACUCGCGGCUUAUCAGCUUGUUGGUGGGGUAGUGGCUUACCAAGGCUUUGACGGGUAGCCGGCCUGAGAGGGUGACCGGCCACAUUGGGACUGAGAUACGGCCCAGACUCUUACGGGAGGCAGCAGUGGGGAAUAUUGCACAAUGGGCGGAAGCCUGAUGCAGCAACGCCGCGUGCGGGAUGACGGCCUUCGGGUUGUAAACCGCUUUCGCCUGUGACGAAGCGUGAGUGACGGUAAUGGGUAAAGAAGCACCGGCUAACUACGUG